AUGUGAUUACGGUUUCUUUGGUCAGGAAUGUAACAAUUCCUGCAACAUUCCUAACUGUAAGAACAGCUCCUCAUGUGAUGACGUCACUGGUGCAUGUCUUCUCGGCUGUAUUGAUGGUUGGACAGGGCAAAUCUGCAAUGAAAAGACCAGUGAUAUGGUCACAUAUAUCAUCGCCGGCUCAGUAUCAUCGAUCAUUUUCAUUAUCUUGGUCGUCGCUGUUUCUGUAACACUCAUCCAUAAAAAGCCUUAUCAUAAGAAAGAGGAAAGCUUCGAAAAGUCGUCAGCGAAUAGUGUAAAAAGAGAGUAUGAUCACAUUGCAAAAAUUAGGAUAAAUAAGAAAUUAGAGGCUAACCAGACAUGUUAUAUGGAUACCUCAAUAGAAGACAUUAUAACAAGAUCCCAGCAUGUGUAUGAUGAACCCGAAUUUUAAACUUUUUUGAUCUAAACAAUCCGAGUUAAAAUGGCAUACUAAUGAAUCGUGAAUUGAAGUUCAGAUGAGGUAUCGCUUUCUUUGAACCAAUUUUGAAUGAUCAGUAUCAUGCCAUCGUAAUUUAUAUUGUCAUUUAAAUUAAUAUGAUCCGAUUUUACAAUGUAUUUCUUAUACGGUUAUAUAAAAAUAUUUUCUAAUUGUU